GGAAACAUCGUGAACUGUGUCAGUGGCCACUUGAUGACUAUAGUAUUUCUUGCAGGGACAGCUGACCUUCAGGGAUGUGGCCAUAGAAUUCUCUGAGGAGGAGUGGGGAUGCCUGACCCACACUCAGUGGCAACUGUACCUGGAUGUGAUGUUGGAGAACUACGGACACCUCCUCUUCUUGGGCGGAUUAAUAUCCCAUGUUGAACUGUUCCUCCAACAAAUCCGUGUCAUGGACAUGAUGAGGGACCAGAAGACAAGCUGAGGACAAAGCAGAAGCUGACACACUCAACUCCCCCUCCAUGGGAUGCAUGUGACAUUCCUCAGGGGCUCCUGGCUGAAGGAAAAAGCAAAUAGUUAACUUAUGGAGAUUACAAUCCUGCAAGACAUGGGUGUCCUGUUCUACAAAUGUCCUAGAAAUUUACAAAAACAAAGCACUUCUAUCAAUUACCAAGCUUCCAGAACGGAAUGUACAAACGUUUAAGUGACCUUAGAGUCUGCAGCCCAUUGACAGAUGCUUGAAGAGGUCAAAAUGUAAUGUUCCUCCAGAAAACUCCCAACUAUCUUCACGGUAAUGCCUUCCUAAGAGGGAAAAACAACAUUAGCUUGACAAUGGCAAGGCUUCCAGUAUCCUGUGAGUCUUCCAACAUAUGAAAAUCAUUUUGAAAACUCCCUUAUUCCUCACCUUUCCCUAACCCCAUAGUAUAAAAUCAGCCACCCCCUCAUGACCCCGGGGGCAGCAACUCUUUCUGCCCUCCUCCUGUCCCCAUGCUUUAAUAAAACAACAUUUUGCACCAAA